rnacentral:rRNA from 1 species
GCAGCCAUGCCGCGUGUGUGAAGAAGGCCUUCGGGUUGUAAAGCACUUUCAGUCGUGAGGAAGGUAGUGUAGUUAAUAGCUGCAUUAUUUGACGUUAGCGACAGAAGAAGCACCGGCUAACUCCGUGCCAGCAGCCGCGGUAAUACGGAGGGUGCGAGCGUUAAUCGGAAUUACUGGGCGUAAAGCGCAUGCAGGUGGUUUGUUAAGUCAGAUGUGAAAGCCCGGGGCUCAACCUCGGAAUUGCAUUUGAAACUGGCAGACUAGAGUACUGUAGAGGGGGGUAGAAUUUCAGGUGUAGCGGUGAAAUGCGUAGAGAUCUGAAGGAAUACCGGUGGCGAAGGCGGCCCCCUGGACAGAUACUGACACUCAGAUGCGAAAGCGUGGGGAGCAAACAGGAUUAGAUACCCUGGUAGUCCACGCCGUAAACGAUGUCUACUUGGAGGUUGUGGCCUUGAGCCGUGGCUUUCGGAGCUAACGCGUUAAGUAGACCGCCUGGGGAGUACGGUCGCAAGAUUAAAACUCAAAUGAAUUGACGGGGGCCCGCACAAGCGGUGGAGCAUGUGGUUUAAUUCGAUGCAACGCGAAGAACCUUACCUACUCUUGACAUCCAGAGAACUUCCAGAGAUGG